rnacentral:rRNA from 1 species
UUAAGCGACUAAGCGUACACGGUGGAUGCCCUGGCAGUCAGAGGCGAUGAAGGACGUGCUAAUCUGCGAUAAGCGUCGGUAAGGUGAUAUGAACCGUUAUAACCGGCGAUUUCCGAAUGGGGAAACCCAGUGUGAUUCGUCACACUAUCAUUAACUGAAUCCAUAGGUUAAUGAGGCGAACCGGGGGAACUGAAACAUCUAAGUACCCCGAGGAAAAGAAAUCAACCGAGAUUCCCCCAGUAGCGGCGAGCGAACGGGGAGCAGCCCAGAGCCU